UCCUACGGGGGGCAGCAGUGAGGAAUAUUGGUCAAUGGGCGGGAGCCUGAACCAGCAACGCCGCGUGAAGGAAGACGGUUUUCGGAUUGUAAACUUCUUUUCUUAGUGAAGAAGCAAGUGACGGUAGCUAAGGAAUAAGCAUCGGCUAACUACGUGCCAGCAGCCGCGGUAAUACGUAGGAUGCGAGCGUUAUCCGGAAUUACUGGGUGUAAAGGGAGCGCAGGCGGGACUGCAAGUUGGAUGUGAAAUACCGCAGCUUAACUGCGGAGCUGCAUCCAAAACUGUAGUUCUUGAGUGGAGUAGAG
rnacentral:rRNA from 1 species